rnacentral:tRNA from 1 species
GCGGGCGUGGCGAAAUGGCAGACGCGCGGGCUUUAGGUGCCCGUGUUCGGAAGAACGUGUGGGUUCGAGUCCCACCGCCCGCAC